UACGAAGGGGGCGAGCGUUGUUCGGAUUUACUGGGCGUAAAGGGCGCGCAGGCGGCUCAUUUUGUCAGGCGUGAAAGCCCCGGGCUUAACCUGGGAACUGCGUUUGAUACGGAUGGGCUAGAGUUCGGGAGAGGAGAGUGGAAUUCCCAGUGUAGAGGUGAAAUUCGUAGAUAUUGGGAAGAACACCGGUGGCGAAGGCGGCUUUCUGGACCGAUACUGACGCUGAGGCGCGGAAGCGUGGGGAGCAAACAGG
rnacentral:rRNA from 1 species